GACGAACGCUGGCGGCGUGCCUAAUACAUGCAAGUUGAGCGCUGAAGGUUGGUACUUGUCCCAACUGGAUGAGCAGCGAACGGGUGAGUAACGCGUGGGGAAUCUGCCUUUGAGCGGGGGACAACAUUUGGGAACGAAUGCUAAUACCGCAUAAAAACUUUAAACACAAGUUUUAAGUUUGAAAGAUGCAAUUGCAUCACUCAAAGAUGAUCCCGCGUUGUAUUAGCUAGUUGGUGAGGUAAAGGCUCACCAAGGCGAUGAUACAUAGCCGACCUGAGAGGGUGAUCGGCCACAUUGGGACUGAGACACGGCCCAAACUCCUACGGGAGGCAGCAGUAGGGAAUCUUCGGCAAUGGACGAAAGUCUGACCGAGCAACGCCGCGUGAGUGAAGAAGGUUUUCGGAUCGUAAAACUCUGUUGGUAGAGAAGAACGUUGGUGAGAGUGGAAAGCUCAUCAAGUGACGGUAACUACCCAGAAAGGGACGGCUAACUACGUG
rnacentral:rRNA from 1 species